rnacentral:lncRNA from 1 species
GGCGGCAGGGUGGGGUGGUGGAAAUCCUCUUUCUUGCAGAGUGACAGCUUAUUCUGGGGAAAUAGUAGGAGUGGUAAUGGAGAGCGUUGAUUUAAUUAAUUUUACUGCCUAUCUGUAUUGCCUGGGAACAGGUGAAAUAACCAAAUAAAAUAGCAACAUUUCAUCUUCAUGAUCCCAACAAUCAAGGCAUGGGGAAUUUACUACAUUGUGGAAGCUACUGUGCAAGGCACAGUUCAAAGAAUACUAAUGAGAUGUGGAGGCCCCAGGAUUCAGAGGUAUACCUACCGUGGGCCCCCUGAAACUUAACCCCCAGCUUAAACGUGGUGCUGGGAGGGGGCCAGAGGUCAGUAGGAAAUUUGGGAAGAGGCUGUAUCUCUGAGGGAGCCCAUACUUCUUUAAUUUAUGUUGAUUCAUACUUAACUCCAUCCUUUACCUUUUUUUUCUUUUUGCUCCAAAGUGGUUCAGUUAAUUAACAGAUGGCCUGCAUACCUUUUCCUAGAAGAUUCCAUUUUCUUCCAGGCAUCUUUGGGGACAGCAGGAAACCCCUCUACACUUACUUGUGGAAGCAGCAAACCUGCAGGCUUUCUUCUUUCCUUGGAUCCUUUUGUUGGCAAUGAUUCCCAUCUGCUCCCCAGAGAAGGAAAUGAAAUCUUUACGGCAUUUGGCAAGUGGUGGAUCAAGGUUUCCCACUGCUCUUAUGAAUGGAGCCAAGCAUGUUUGCAAUUGCUCCAGACUCUUGCCUUUCUUGACAGGACUGAGGAAGGAGCCAUGCAGGCAAGGUAGCUUCCUGGCCCCAGAGCCCUCACAGCUGAAACAGCACUCACUCUUCAAACAUGACUAUGGGUCUUCCUAAACGCCAGAUUGCUUCUGCCCCUCAAGGCUUUGGACUCAUCCUAAAUUGUCAAGUUCCAGCAUUGCCUAAGAGCUUGGCUCUACUCCCUGUGUUUGUUUGUUAACAAGCACUAUUUUACCUACUUUCUGAGGCACUGAGAGUGGGUGAGCGGGCGUGGGAAUCAAACGCUGAGUGGGGAGGCCUGCAGGCCAUUGCUUCAGGCCUCGGGAAGUCAGUCCCACAGCCGCAGCUCCAUGUGCUUUGGGACGCCCAGCUAGUCACAGCCACCGGUGUCACUGUACAAACCUGCACCUUUCCCAUAUGCCCACACUCACAGAUGGCAGGCCUUAGCUUCCAGCUGUACAGGAGGCCUUCCAUCACUGUUGGUUUCCCUCUUCAGUGGCUAAUUUAGGCAGAGUUAUGUAAUGAGAGAGUCAAGGCUUGGAGUCCUUGGUGAACAUGAUCACUUUUCUGCCUGAAAUGCAUGUUUUCCAGCUGUACUUUACGACGUAUUAUAACAGAUGUAAAGGGGGGGGUCACCCUCCUUUUCUCUGAAGUACUCAUGGACAGAGCAUAAGAUAUUAUUAUUUAUUUCUUCAGUGGCACCCUUAAAUGAGAAAGCCCUCUGCCGAAGCAUUUGAAUUUGGCUAGCAAAAGGGGGCAAAAUUCAAAAAGAGGAAAGAGAAAGUAGAGAAAGCCCCCCUCCUUCUCUCUCUGUUCAGUUCUGCUGCUUUUCCAGUACUAGCAAGUGCAUGUGGCUCUGUCUGAAGAUUCUCCUGUGGCUCAUUUUAUAGACUCUGAUCAUAAUGACAUCAGAACUCAGGGGAAAUCAGAUGACAUUAUCACAUGGGGGCUGGCAAAAUUCACACUCAAAGCAGAUAAAGCAUUUAUAACCUUCUUGAGACUGUUCAGUAUGUGCCAUGGUUCAGAAGCAUCCAUGACUUCCUAGUGCAUUCAUGUCUCUAGCCAUCUUUUAUUAUUAUUAUUAAAUAUGUGGGAUCACAUUUCCCCACCCUCAUCAUCAACAUCUAGCAAAUGUGUCUAACGCAUCCACAUACAGCUAUUUGAUUUGAAAACCAUCCUGACCUGAGUUUCAUACAUGACAAUUUCCUACAGCGAGUUUUGGAGCCAACCAUACAGGGAUUUGUGUAGAUUGUGGGCAAUGAAAUAAUUGAUAUAAUUUGCUCUAGCAUCAAUGGUCUAACAGAUUACUCUGUGUCACUUUAGGACUUUUAAAUUUAGAUAAAUAAUUUUAGGAGAUUGACUUCCAGAACUGAUUCUUCUCCAUCAGAAGUUCAGUGAUAAAUGAUAACAUUCUCCUCUCCAGACCUCCAUGAACACGGUGCUAGAUGACAUCUCAGAGCCCUGUAGGUUCUACACAUAAUCUGAUUAGAUGAUGAUUGAUUGAAAGAAAAUAAAUCAUUUAACCAGUCUUCUCUCUCCCUACCACACAUCUAGAAAGCUUUGUUUGUUUGUUUGUUGUUUCUCAGGCUUGGGAGUUGUAUUUUCCCUCAAUAGUGAUCAGGGACACCAAAUUGCUCUUGCCUUCAUGGUUGUGGUCCCUCUUCAGCUCUAAAUAAUUAGUGGUCUCAAACCCUGCUUCUUAUUCAGAUCACCUGGUGAGUUUGUUUAUUUGUUUUCCUAUCAAUGCCCAGUACCCCAGAUUCUGAUUCAGUUGAGGUGAUCUUAAGGCCAUGGCUUUGCUAUUUUUUGAAAGCUCUUCAGGUGAUCCUAAGCCAGAUUGAAAGCCUCUGGAAUAAGUUGAUCACAGCAUCAUCAGAAAUAGAAUAAAUCAAUUGAAGUUAAAACAAACUGACAGACACAGGUGAAAAGGAACCUACUACCUGAGAUUUUACUUUCUUUGAAGGUCUUAAUAAGUUCCUUUAGAGCCAAGUGGGAGUCUCCUUUUUUAGUGUUCUCAGCACUGGUGUCUGACACAUCAUGGUUUGUAGAAUGAAUGAAAUGAAGAUGAUUAUUUAUUCUUAUUGUACAACAGUGAUUCAUAAUGUAUGUCCUGAAGUCAUUUCUUGACAUCUUUGGCUUCCAAGCACUAUGGAUCACCUGAAAGUAAGAAAGGAAAAAAAUGCUGCAGCUGAGCAGCUAAAAUAGAUGUGAAAAAGACUAAGAAUGACUCUAGUUCUUUAUUCCUGGGAGCAUCCCUCAGGCUGAUCUGGGAGCUUUGUUCUUAUUUUAUACACAGUCCUAAUAGUCUUGCUUCUCUGGUUCUUCUUUCACAGAAACUUAGAGGAAUGACUAAGGAAAAUGACACAUCAAAAAAGUAAGCAAUGGAAUUCGGAGAGUAUGAUAGUUUGAGACUAUUUAGGAUGGGCCAAGUAGUUUUACAUACCCAGCAUCCCUGACUUUGUGCCCACCAUUCAUUCAUGUAUUAGAAUUCACUAGUGCAAGGUACCAGGCUGUAUGCAUGGGGGUUGCAAAGAUGAACUCUUGCAUUGAAUACGAGUGAACCUCUCCCUUAGCCCCAGCCCCAUUUUUCUCACUCUUGAGUUGCUUAAAUUGCAAUAGCAUCAUGCUGCUCCUGCUUGUUUUUUUGUAUAGGAUUUUUUGCUCUCCAGAGUAUUUCAUAGUUUUUUUGUUUUGUUUUCUAUUUCUUUUUUUUUUUUUUUUCCUAAGGCCCCAGUUCAAGUCAUCUUUGGUGCUGCAUAACUGUCCCUCUGAUCCACGUAACAUUUUCCAAAAUGCAAAGAUCUCCCUAAAUGCAAAUCUGAUCAGAUUACUCCCAGUUAAAAUCCUCUAGUGAUCCCAUAAGUUUCAAGAUUGCACUGACUUCUGUAUGAGGUUCUUCAUGACUGAUCCACAUCUAUUGCACAGCCUACUCUUCCCCUCCUGUUUCUCAUUUUCAAGUUCUAUGAACUGCUCAUGAUUCCCUCCAGACACUGCCUUUCAUACUUGUGUGCCUUUGCUCAUGUCAUUCCUUCUCUUUGGAAUGCUUUUUUUGUCUUGCAACUUUUGCUAUCCCAUUAUCCAGGAGGUUUUUCCUUCAUAUCUACUCACUCUGCACAUGGCCACCUGCACCCCAUUGGGCUCAUGGUCUUCCCUUUGCUCUUACUAUGUAUGGACGUAAUAGUCACAUGUAAUGUCUUUGUAGCCACUUCAUCUAUUUCCCAGCAUUUUAAGUAACCAGAAGGCAGGAACCACUCUUAUCAUUCCACUGUUUUUCCAGAGUCUGACAUUAACACUAAAUGGCUGUUAAAGGGGACUAGACUGAAAGCUUUUCCCCAUUCAUUUCCCCUUUUUUAUUACUCAGAUGCUGUGACUCAGCAGGAACUUCUGCAAGUAGUUCACAAGGCCUGCAUUUCUACAAAUGGCUUCCAGGAUUUAGAUGAGGCAUCUAAUGCUCUGACAGUGGUGCAGCAAUCACAGAAAGCAUGGGAGCUAAUAGGAGGCUGUCUUGGGUAAAAGUGUGAGUUAGUUACCUCAUCUCUGGAGCUUUGGUUCCUCAUCUGUUUCUUGGGUAUGUGCCAUGUCUGUCAUGCCAAUGAUAUGAUAGCCAAAAACUUAUUGAGCAUUUAUUAUUAUUGCUUUUAUUGGCUAUUCACAAUACAUUUUGGUACAUGCAGGAUAUUGAAUCUCAAACUUGCCUAAGGUAAUGUGGCCAGUAAGGGUUUGGAAUUCGGGAAUUCUGACUUUUGUCCAUUUUUCUUUCUACAACUGUAUGCCAUCUUCUACAUAUGUGCCAUAAGUGAUGUUUUAAUGAUGAACUUAGAAUCAAGAAAAUAUAAUGAUUUAUCGUGUUUAAGGAGGCAGGACAAUAGAUGAUAAAUUUUAUAAAAGGUUCUAUCCAAAAGUUUAAAUAAAACCAUGAAAAUGCAGUUUUGAAGGGACUAAGACUCAUGUAUGUGAAAAAUAAACUUAUUUGGAUAUCUUACCCUCUGAUUUAUAAAUCAAAUAUUAUUGUAGCCAUAUUUUAGUAUCAUAGUAGGUUUAUUAGAAAUUAGAAUCAGAGAGGUUCCCUGAGAUGUAUUCUAGAGUAUUCUCCUAGGAGUUCCUGUCGUGACUCAGUGGAAAUGAAUCUGACUAGUAUCCAUGAGGAUGUAGGUUCGAUCCCUGGCCUUGAUUAUUAGGUUAAGGAUCCAGCAUUGCUGAGAGCUGUGGUGUAGGUCACAGAUGCUGCUCAGAUCCAGCAUUGCUGAGAGCUGUGGUAUAGGUCACAGAUGCUGCUUGGAUCCGGCAUUGCUGUUGCUGUGGCAUAGGCCAGCAGCUACAGUUCUGAUUCAACCCCUAGCCUGGGAAUCUCCAUAUGCCAUAGGUGUG